rnacentral:misc_RNA from 1 species
GCGCCUUAUUCAUAUCAUAAACUGACAUGCAAUUUCUUGACUCGUUGUCAAGGUUUAAUCCUAAUCCUAAACCUAAGUUAUCCCAGAGCUUCACUACGUUUCUUCCCAUUUGUGAACUCAGACCAUGAUGAAAAGAGGUCUCCAAGGCUACUGUUUCUACGUCUCCUUAAAUUACGAUUAUGCAACUGAUCAUCGGCAUAAUAACCGGAACCUCUGACACUAAAAUCUUCAUCAACGGACCUCCAGCUCUGUGAAUUCGAAGACGAUGAUGCAUGUUCAUCUUCUUCUGCUUCGUCGUCGUCUUCUGAUAGCGACGAACAAGACGUGUCUGUUUCGCUGCCGUAGUCAUAAUCAUCAUCGGUGAUGAGAGGAGUUUCAGAAGUGAUUAAAUAACGGUUUUGAAUUCGAAUGAUGAGCAUCUUAAUUCUAUUGAUUAUGGUGGAAAA